rnacentral:rRNA from 1 species
GACGAACGCUGGCGGCGUGCUUAACACAUGCAAGUCGAACGAGUGGCGAACGGGUGUGUAAUACGUGGGUAACAUGCCCUCUUUUUGGGAUAAGCCUUGGAAACGGGGCCUAAUACCGAAUAUAGGGGGAUGGGCUCGCGGCCUAUCAGCUUGUGGGGGGGGUGAUGGCCUACCAAGGCGGUGACGGGUAGCCGGCCUUAGAGGGUGACGGGCCACAUGGGGACUGAGAUACCGCCCAGACGCCGACGGGGGGAAGCAGUGGUGGGUAUUGCACAAUUGGCGAAAGCCUGAUGCCGCGGCGCCGCGUGGGGGAUGAAGGCUUUCGGGUUGUAAACCUCUUGCGCUGUCGAACGGGUACGUGGAGAAGAAGCGCCGGCUAACUACGUGCAAGCAGCCGCGGUAAUC